rnacentral:rRNA from 1 species
CUUCCGAUCUCCUGGCUCAGAUUGAACGCUGGCGGCAGGCCUAACACAUGCAAGUCGAACGGUAACAGGAAACAGCUUGCUGUUUCGCUGACGAGUGGCGGACGGGUGAGUAAUGUCUGGGAAACUGCCUGAUGGAGGGGGAUAACUACUGGAAACGGUAGCUAAUACCGCAUAACGUCGCAAGACCAAAGAGGGGGACCUUCGGGCCUCUUGCCAUCAGAUGUGCCCAGAUGGGAUUAGCUAGUAGGUGGGGUAACGGCUCACCUAGGCGACGAUCCCUAGCUGGUCUGAGAGGAUGACCAGCCACACUGGAACUGAGACACGGUCCAGACUCCUACGGGAGGCAGCAGUGGGGAAUAUUGCACAAUGGGCGCAAGCCUGAUGCAGCCAUGCCGCGUGUAUGAAGAAGGCCUUCGGGUUGUAAAGUACUUUCAGCGGGGAGGAAGGGAGUAAAGUUAAUACCUUUGCUCAUUGACGUUACCCGCAGAAGAAGCACCGGCUAACUCCGUGCCAGCAGCCGCGGUAAUACGGAGGGUGCAAGCGUUAAUCGGAAUUACUGGGCGUAAAGCGCACGCAGGCGGUUUGUUAAGUCAGAUGUGAAAUCCCCGGGCUCAACCUGGGAACUGCAUCUGAUACUGGCAAGCUUGAGUCUCGUAGAGGGGGGUAGAAUUCCAGGUGUAGCGGUGAAAUGCGUAGAGAUCUGGAGGAAUACCGGUGGCGAAGGCGGCCCCCUGGACGAAGACUGACGCUCAGGUGCGAAAGCGUGGGGAGCAAACAGGAUUAGAUACCCUGGUAGUCCACGCCGUAAACGAUGUCGACUUGGAGGUUGUGCCCUUGAGGCGUGGCUUCCGGAGCUAACGCGUUAAGUCGACCGCCUGGGGAGUACGGCCGCAAGGUUAAAACUCAAAUGAAUUGACGGGGGCCCGCACAAGCGGUGGAGCAUGUGGUUUAAUUCGAUGCAACGCGAAGAACCUUACCUGGUCUUGACAUCCACGGAAGUUUUCAGAGAUGAGAAUGUGCCUUCGGGAACCGUGAGACAGGUGCUGCAUGGCUGUCGUCAGCUCGUGUUGUGAAAUGUUGGGUUAAGUCCCGCAACGAGCGCAACCCUUAUCCUUUGUUGCCAGCGGUCCGGCCGGGAACUCAAAGGAGACUGCCAGUGAUAAACUGGAGGAAGGUGGGGAUGACGUCAAGUCAUCAUGGCCCUUACGACCAGGGCUACACACGUGCUACAAUGGCGCAUACAAAGAGAAGCGACCUCGCGAGAGCAAGCGGACCUCAUAAAGUGCGUCGUAGUCCGGAUUGGAGUCUGCAACUCGACUCCAUGAAGUCGGAAUCGCUAGUAAUCGUGGAUCAGAAUGCCACGGUGAAUACGUUCCCGGGCCUUGUACACACCGCCCGUCACACCAUGGGAGUGGGUUGCAAAAGAAGUAGGUAGCUUAACCUUCGGGAGGGCGCUUACCACUUUGUGAUUCAUGACUGGGGUGAAGUCGUAACAAGGUAACCGUAGGGGAACCUGCGGUUG